UACGGAGGGGGCAAGCGUUGUUCGGAAUUACUGGGCGUAAAGCGCGCGUAGGCGGCUGGGUAAGUCAGAUGUGAAAGCCCUCGGCUCAACCGGGGAACUGCGUCUGAUACUGCCUGGCUUGAGUCCGGUAGGGGGUAGCGGAAUUCCCGGUGUAGCGGUGGAAUGCGUAGAUAUCGGGAGGAGUACCGAUGGCGAAGGCGGCUACCGGGGCCGGUACUGACGUUGAGGCGCGAAAGCUAGGGGAGCAAACAGG
rnacentral:rRNA from 1 species